rnacentral:rRNA from 1 species
UCGCCAGACUCCUACGGGAGGCAGCAGUGAGGAAUAUUGGUCAAUGGACGAAAGUCUGAACCAGCCAUGCCGCGUGCAGGAAGACGGCUCUAUGAGUUGUAAACUGCUUUUGUACAAGGGUAAACCUGAAUACGUGUAUUCAGCUGAAAGUACUGUACGAAUAAGGAUCGGCUAACUCCGUGCCAGCAGCCGCGGUAAUACGGAGGAUGCGAGCGUUAUCCGGAUUUAUUGGGUUUAAAGGGUGCGUAGGCGGAAUAUCAAGUCAGCGGUAAAAAUUCGGGGCUCAACCCCGUCGUGCCGUUGAAACUGAUGUUCUUGAGUGGGCGAGAAGUAUGCGGAAUGCGUGGUGUAGCGGUGAAAUGCAUAGAUAUCACGCAGAACUCCGAUUGCGAAGGCAGCAUACCGGCGCUCAACUGACGCUCAUGCACGAAAGUGUGGGUAUCGAGCAGGAUUAGAUACCCGGGUACU